CCUACGGGAGGCAGCAGUGGGGAAUUUUCCGCAAUGGACGAAAGUCUGACGGAGCGACGCUGCGUGAAGGAUGAAGGCCCGUGGGUCGUAGACUUCUUUUCUCGAAGAAGAAAUUUUGACGGUAUUCGAGGAAUAAGCAUCGGCUAACUCUGUGCCAGCAGCCGCGGUAAGACAGAGGAUGCAAGUGUUAUUCGGAAUGAUUGGGCGUAAAGGGUCUGUAGGCGGUCAAGAAAGUCUUUUGUGAAAUCCUUCAGCUUAACUGGGGCUCCGCAAAAGAAACUUCUCGACUUGAGAGAAGUAGAGGUACAGGGAAUUCCCGGUGGAGCGGCGAAAUGCGUAGAUAUCGGGAGGAACACCAAUAUGGCGAAGGCACUGUACUGGGCUUUUUCUGACGCUCAGAGACGAAAGCUAAAGGAGUGAUUAGGAUUAGAUACCCUAGUAAUUUUAGCCGUAAACGAUGGAAACUCAGUGCCGAGCGAAAUACAACGAGCGGUGCUCAAGCUAACGCGUGAAGUUUCCCGCCUGGGGAAUACGCUUGCAAAGUGAAACUCAAAGGAAUUGAACGG
rnacentral:rRNA from 1 species